rnacentral:lncRNA from 1 species
CAGAAAGCUUUUCCCAACACCACAGAAUGCAUUUGCAGGAGCCAGAUAUGUUCAUAAAAGUUCUUCCAUCUUCCUGCUUUUCAGUUCACUCUCUGGAGAAAGCCACCACUUAUAUGAGAAAGAAGAAUGUAAUAAGGAAAAAAUCAAUGAAGCAAUUCACACAUAAAAAAAGGCUCUGAUGCUAUACAAAGUUUUCCAUCCCAGAAUGCCUCCAGGGUGAUUUGAGCAUGAAGAGAUGUCUUCUUACAUCUAGU